CGCAAGAACCGCGCGAUAAAACGAACGGACAAAGAAGUGGUCUUUGUUAUGUGAGCUUCUACAGUGGCGGCCCGGUAUCGCCAGUCUCACUACAGGCUCCUCGUAUGGAACAGCCUGGACAUGACCGACUGGUUUCAGUCAGACCCGCGACAGACACUGAGAAGAAACUGUUGAGCGUUAUCAGCGGGCUGUCUGCCAGAGAGCACCGCUGGAGGAGAAGCUGGAGGAGAAGCUGGAGCACAGGCUGGAGCAGUGUCUGAGCUGCAGGAGAGGAUGUCCGCUAUGGAAGCCCAAAUAAACACUUUAUCCAGCACGAGGGCGUUGAGGAAAUUCAGCGGAAAAGAGGAGAGCACAGUCCUAAAAUUGUGCCGCUUGUAAAACCCAUUACUCUGCGCAGGAAUUUCCGCUGUAGUCAACCCAACAUAGUGGAUCAGGCGGAGGCGAUUAAGUUAUCUGCCCGGAGUCAGCAGAGAAGAAAGAGACUGCUUGAUGCCAGGAAGACGGUCCUUGCUCCAGACGAAGAGGAGUUCUGGACUGGUAUCACAGCGGACAUGAUGUCGGAUGAGGAGGACGGCAGAGUAGAUGGCGUACAUGGAUGGAUUGUGUGGCCUCCAUCCUUCCGCAGCCAGGAGCUUUCCAACUUGUGUGCUGCCCUACAGGCCAGGCUGGAAGCUGAUGGAAGGUAAACAGCUCUUCGUCACAGACGUUUUUACAAUGGACAGCCAUCUGAAAGACUGAAGCCAUUGAAAUACGACAGGGCAGCAGCCAGGAAACAUUUAAUUCCAGAGCUGAUGCCUGAGACCAGCCCGGAGUGACAGAUCAACUAUGUUUUUCUUUUUGUUUUGCAAUGUAUAUAUUUUUUGAAACUUUGAACAAUUCUAUUUCAUUUUUUCAUUUUAAUUUUUUUGUAUAUUUUUUUAAAGAACAGCUUAUUUUAAUUUUGAUUUUGGAUUACUGAAACUGUAGACUGUUCAAUAAAGCGCUUGUUUGUCAAAAUGUCUCAAAAUGUCAU